rnacentral:rRNA from 1 species
AGAGUUUGAUCCUGGCUCAGAACGAACGCUGGCGGCAGGCCUCAAACAUGCAAGUCUAGGGGGUGUAGCAAUACAUCACCGGCGGACGGGUGCGUAACGCGUGGGAAUGUACCUAUUGGUUCGGAACAACUGAGGGAAACUUCAGCUAAUACCGAAUGUGUCCUUACGGAGAAAGAUUUAUCGCCAAUAGAUCAGCCCGCGUCCGAUUAGCUAGUUGGUGGGGUAAUGGCCCACCAAGGCUCCGAUCGGUAGCUGUUCUGAGAGGAAGAUCAGCCACACUGGGACUGAGACACGGCCCAGACUCCUACGGGAGGCAGCAGUUGGGAAUCUUGGACAAUGGGGGAAACCCUGAUCCAGCCAUGCCGCGUGAGUGAUGAAGGCCUUCGGGUUGUAAAACUCUUUCGCGCACGACGAUAAUGACGGUAGUGCGAGAAGAAGCUCCGGCUAACUUCGUGCCAGCAGCCGCGGUAAUACGAAGGGGGCUAGCGUUGUUCGGAAUUACUGGGCGUAAAGCGCGCGCAGGCGGCUAUCCAAGUCAGUGGUGAAAGCCCGGAGCUCAACUCCGGAACUGCCAUUGAAACUGUUUAGCUUGAGUAUGAGAGAGGUGAGUGGAAUUCCCAGUGUAGAGGUGAAAUUCGUAGAUAUUGGGAAGAACACCGGUGGCGAAGGCGGCUCACUGGCUCAUUACUGACGCUCAGGCGCGACAGCGUGGGGAUCAAAAGGAUUAGAUACCCUAGUAGUCC